AUGUUGAGACAUAAAGAGGGAUGUUUGUCCAGACAGUAAAUAAACUUCCUGUUUCCUCCUGUGCUGGGACAAACUUCCUCUACAUGUGACCAGAGGUGGGCGUGACCUUACCUGUGCAGGUAACAAAAUAGCACAGGGCAGGCAGGCAUCUCUCUCUCUGACUCCAUUCCUCAAAGAAGCAACAUCUCCUUAGCCUGAGAUGCUCUCUUGGCUUCCAGCCAAGAGAGGACAAAGGAACUAUCUCCUUAUGGGAUAGAUUCCAUGUGUAUAUAUUUUGUAACUUAAGUCUGCCUUCUGGGAUCCAUUUGUGAACAGAAUGUCGGCAAGAGUAUUGUUGGCUCAGAAAUGGAAACAAGAAGAAAUACCGACGAAAGAAGAAUGGCAGACAAAAUUCAUGGACUACGCAGAAUUGGAUAAAAUGACAGGAAGGGUUUGAAACCUGUGGAACCAGAGAUUUACAAAAGAUUGGAAGAAAUAUACAAACUAUUUGAACAGCAACUGUAAUCAGCAAAUUACGCUACAAGAAGUUCUGUAAGGAGAAAUAUAUGAAAUAUUGCAAAGAAGAGAAAGAAGAGAGAUAUUAGUUAUGAGAUUUAAAUGUAAUAAUGAAAAUAAGAAAUGUAAAUCAAAUAAAUAGAUUGGAAAAUU